rnacentral:rRNA from 1 species
GACGAACGUUGGCGGCGUGCUUAAUACAUGCAAGUCAACUGAAGCAGUGGUAGCAAUAUCGCUGUGGAGGUGGCGCACGGGUGAGUAACACGUAGGUAAUCUGCCUUCAGGUCUGGCAUAACUCCGGGAAACCGGGGCUAAUAGCAGAUGAUGCAGCGGCUCGACGUCGAGACAGUUGUUAAAGCUAUGGCGCCUGAAGAUGAGCCUGCGUCUGAUUAGCUAGUUGGCGGGGUAACGGCCCACCAAGGCAACGAUCAGUAGCUGGUCUGAGAGGAUGAUCAGCCACACUGGAACUGAGACACGGUCCAGACUCCUACGGGAGGCAGCAGUAAGGAAUAUUGCUCAAUGGGAGAAAUCCUGAAGCAGCAACGCCGCGUGAGGGACGAAGGGCUUUUGCUUGUAAACCUCUGUAGUGAGAGAAAAAAAUCCCAAUCUUUGGGACAUGAUGGUAUCUCAAAAGUAAGCCCCGGCUAACUACGUG